GUGGGUAUGGCUCAGUGAUAGAGCACAUGCUUACUAUGCAUGAGGUCCUGCGUUCAAGCCCUAGUACCUCCA
rnacentral:tRNA from 1 species